rnacentral:rRNA from 1 species
GACGUAGGGGGCGAGCGUUGUCCGGAUUUAUUGGGCGUAAAGCGUGCGUAGGUGGCUUGUCACGUCGGGUGUGAAAGCUUGGGGCUUAACUCCAGGUCUGCAUUCGAUACGGGCUGGCCAGAGGUAGGUAGGGGAGAACGGAAUUCCUGGUGUAGCGGUGAAAUGCGCAGAUAUCAGGAGGAACACCGGUGGCGAAGGCGGUUCUCUGGGCCUUACCUGACGCUGAGGAGCGAAAGCGUGGGGAGCGAACAGG